rnacentral:rRNA from 1 species
GACGAACGCUGGCGGCGUGCCUAAUACAUGCAAGUCGAACGCUGAAGGAGGAGCUUGCUUCUCUGGAUGAGUUGCGAACGGGUGAGUAACGCGUAGGUAACCUGCCUGGUAGCGGGGGAUAACUAUUGGAAACGAUAGCUAAUACCGCAUAAUAGUAGAUGUUGCAUGACAUUUGCUUAAAAGGUGCAAUUGCAUCACUACCAGAUGGACCUGCGUUGUAUUAGCUAGUUGGUGAGGUAACGGCUCACCAAGGCAACGAUACAUAGCCGACCUGAGAGGGGGAUCGGCCACACUGGGACUGAGACACGGCCCAGACUCCUACGGGAGGCAGCAGUAGGGAAUCUUCGGCAAUGGACGGAAGUCUGACCGAGCAACGCCGCGUGAGUGAAGAAGGUUGUCGGAUCGUAAAGCUCUGUUGUAAGAGAAGAACGAGUGUGAGAGUGGAAAGUUCACACUGUGACGGUAGCUUACCAGAAAGGGACGGCUAACUACGUG